AUCCUGGCUUCAGUGGGAAAAUCUCUAUUGAUUCAUUAUCAAGCAAACUGUUCUCCAAGAAACCAUUGCCGGUUGCUGGUGGGCAGUACAGAUUCAAGGUGAAGGUUACCACAGAGUAUCACCCCUAACUAACAAGGUGCAGAUACCACCAAGGGAUGCUGACUGCCACUGAAAAGGGAUGUCUGCAUGGAAAAUCUCUCUCUCUAACUCAAUCAGAACUCCAAUCCUUGAUCCUCCAAAUGACAGAAUAAUUGGAAGCAGAUGAUCCUCCUUUUUCAGGUCAGAAGGCCUAACCUGAUGUCACAAAGCCCACAUCAUCCACCUCACUUCCUCUCUUCACGUUGACUCUCAUCAGUAUG